rnacentral:sRNA from 1 species
GCUGGCGGCGAGGCCGACGAGGUCAUGCUCCAUGUACUCGAAGACGAGGUAGAGGCUGCAGGACAUGCGGGAGGUGACGAGGCCCUCGAGCUUGAUGACGUUGGGGUGGUGGAGGCGGCGGAGGAUGAGGAUCUC